rnacentral:tRNA from 7 species
AGGUAAAGUGGCCGAACAGGUGUUAAGUUGUAGCCUUAAUAAUAAAGGUUUAAAUCCUUUCUAUACCAA